UCAAGUACAUAGGAGCUGGACUUUCAUGACUGGAAAAAACCUCACGACAGUGGACUGACUCGCUAUAAUGACUUUGGUGUUCUACAGUUGAUUGACAGAUGAAGUCUGUUUCUAAAAGGCGAUUGGCUCUUUAAACUGUAAGGCGGGACUUCCUUUCUCCAUCUAUUCAUUCUCCAUCUAUUCAAUUCAUUAAUUGUUAUAAAAGUGGCCCGUCUGUGCUGAAUCGUCUCUGGUGUGCGUCAUUGGGGGUUUCCGCGGCGCAGCUGCAGCUGGGCGGGUCGCGAAAGGAAAGCGGCGUCCCGAAUCGUCAUAAAAACCGAGCGAAUCCGACGCGAGCUAGAGUGACAGGCGACAUGGACGGUAAGUCGAGCGUUUGUUCAGUUGAUCGGUGAAACCCCGAAUCCGAACUUUAGUUUAGUUGACCCGAUUCACCGCGUCCAACCGGGUGUUCAGAACCGAGCCAGAAACAGGAAUAUUCGCGACGCGUCCAUCCGGGUCUCUGACGCACUCAGGCUGACAGACGCGCGCACGUACGCGUGCACAUACAGGCCAUCUGUACGUGGAGAUCAUCGAGCAGCCCAAAGCACGAGGAAUGCGGCAACAUUCCAGGAGAAAAGAGUAACAGCACGACCAAAACACACCCGCCAUCAAGUUUCCAGAAUCUGUGUAUUCAGUGUGUGAGGAAGAAGGAUGUGGGAGAAGCCAUUUCCUGUCGACUACAAACACAAAACAACCCCUUUAAUAGUUUUAGUUCCACGUAGAACUAGUUCAUGUGGUGGAAGAUUUUCCGAAAUGUAUCCUUUUCUGUUCAGAAGAAGAGAGUUCGUUCCUGCUGCAUCUGCAGGAUCACUAAAGCCGUUGUCUUCUCACUUCAGUCCUGCACCUGGUCAGCUCUUCACUCAACAAACCCAGAGUUUACUCAAAAUGGAGCCAUCCACAUCUACCAGUGACACUUGGAAGUUCCUCAACAGCUUGACCAUGGACCUUCAGCCCAAAGCUGUGGCCUUCCCAAGUUAAGCCCCUGCUCCAGCCCAUGACUUCCCCACCGUUAACCUGUCCGAUCUGCAUGACUUUCCAUUCAACACCUUCACCGCAAGGCCACAGGAUCCAGUCAACAUUGAGCCAGAAUCGAAUCAAGAGCUUGUGAAUUAUAAUCGAAUUGAAUUGGGACAUCUGUAUCAAUAAUGGAGAGCAUUUUCGAAACGCUCUGUUUUUGUGGUACGUAAAUGUAUUGAAAUCCUUGCAUUUUCAGACGGAAACAAAUUGGUGUGGACUUGCCUUAGGCAAGGGAUUCUUGGUCAGGUCCAGGAAAAUUCAAAUACAUUUUUAUUAAAUGAUACUUAAAGGAAUAUUUCAGGUUUAGUACAAGUUAAUCUCAAUCGACAGCAAUUGUGGCAUAAAAAAGCACAAAUCUGUGUUCCAGUGAGUAGAGGGCUGCAGGACUCCCACGGGACCCAAUUAGAUUUCUUGUGAUGCGGGAUUACAUUUCAGAGUUGAAGGCGGGAGCCAUGAAUGCUAAUUGUAAUUUAUUUAUUUUUAUGUAAAAUAAAUGUGCAUACAGCUUGUGCAUUAAAUUAUCCAAUAUGUCAGGUAGUCAACGGGGCUUUAGAAGAAUGGCAGAGCAAAGCGCACACUGUAUUAUCAAAGGAUGUAAAUCGCAGACUAGAAAAGGCAAGUCAGAUUGGCAUCAAGUCACGCGUUAUCUGAUAAUAGCAAUAACAGAAAAAUAAAAUGUUAUUUGUGUACA